CACAAUUUUUGUAACUUCCAAUCGUGUUAAAUAAGUGCUGGAGGGAAUACAUUAGUCAGGUAAAGAAGUAAAUAUUGAAAUCUUCACAUAUUUUUAUAUUUUCAAUCAACAAACAUUUAAAGAAGAAAAGACCAUUGGAAUUAAAAAAGUUUCCGUGAAUGUAGAAUAUGGAAGAUACUAGCACAUGUGGGAGAUACCAGCGAGAAGUUUGUGCAAAACUCGUGGCCUCAGUUCGUUUGCGAUGUUUAAAUCAACAGACUCCAUAUUUACAAUACCGUGUAAUUGCAUAUACGAAUAUUCGGAAUCGGAAGUCAUGAGGCAUCACCAAUAACCAACAUUGGUUUUGUGUUCUCUUCCCAUUUUUGCUUAUAUUCAAACACAUGUACUUAUAAAUUAUUUGGUGGAGUCUAUACAUCGCAAAGCUUUAGCUACACGAAAUGUGCCUGAGAUUUGGUGUUGCUGGUCGAAUAGGAUGAUCACGAAACAACGCAUGAAGUUUAUCGCAAUAAGCACUGCCUCCUCAAAGGUUUUCAUUGCCUUAGUGGAUGUUUCGACUUUUUAACGCCUGCUUCUGAUAGUCUGCAAUAGUUUUCUCCAAGUUGCCGCUGUACUAAUAAACCGCCCGCCAGCGAUCUAUCCGCAAUCAUGAACUCAAAAAUUUUACUAAAUUCUCAUAUGCACGUGAACAUAUUGGUGUUAGUUUCACCGAGAGUAUCUAUGUGUAUUUCUGGAUUUUGUUUGUUACUCGCUCAACUCAUGCCGUUCGUACUCAUCUGGGAGGUGAGCGCACUAACGUAUCACUUACGUAAGGUGAAACAUAGCGAUACAAUGUACAAUAUGCUCGAAAGAGUUAACACGACUUUACGAGUGAAGAAAACAAGUAAAUUUGAAAUAUAAAUACAACUAAAAUGUAUCUUUUAGAUAAAAAAAAUGCGGUCGUUGCAAAUUUAGUGCUUCAAUCAACUGAAAAAGAGCACUGCAGAAGUAACAAAUUGCAAAGACAGCUGAAAUCAUAUGUGUCGUCUUUGGUAAAAAGCUUGAAAGUUACAAAAAUUUUAAUUCUUUAGAAUCCAAGCAUGAUUUCGAAUAUUAGUAUAUUGGAUACCCCAACAUCCAAAAAAACUAUAUAUUUCAAAUAAACAUGAAAUGCAUCGAACGAUAUACAUAUGUGAGUAUAUAAUAAAGUUGCUGUAUACACUAUUGGAAUUUUGUGGAUUAAUGUACGGCAAACAACACAUCACCUAGACAGAUUCAUUGAAUACGAAUCACUCCAACAAGACUGAUAUUUGAAUACUAGAUCUCUGCUUUGGAGAAUUACGACGACUAAAAAUUAGAGGUACAAACUACAUAUAAGCGAUCGCAUUUAUACAUACAGAAAUCAUAGAAUUUCACAAUCACUCAUGAUAUAAAUAAUUUUGGAGUUUGGAAAAAAACAUCGUGACCGUAAUUAACAUAUGUGUAAAGCUUAUAUAAAAAGAUCGCAAUAAUAAACUUUUGUAACUAUUAAAUUUUUAUACAUAUAUAACUUAAA